CCUACGGGAGGCAGCAGUGGGGAAUAUUGGACAAUGGGGGGAACCCUGAUCCAGCCAUGCCGCGUGUGUGAAGAAGGCCCUCGGGUUGUAAAGCACUUUCAGUGAGGAAGAACGCCUGGUGGUUAAUACCCAUCAGGAAAGACAUCACUCACAGAAGAAGCACCGGCUAACUCCGUGCCAGCAGCCGCGGUAAUACGGAGGGUGCGAGCGUUAAUCGGAAUUACUGGGCGUAAAGCGCGCGUAGGUGGCUUGAUAAGCCGGUUGUGAAAGCCCCGGGCUCAACCUGGGAACGGCAUCCGGAACUGUCAAGCUAGAGUGCAGGAGAGGAAGGUAGAAUUCCCGGUGUAGCGGUGAAAUGCGUAGAGAUCGGGAGGAAUACCAGUGGCGAAGGCGGCCUUCUGGACUGACACUGACACUGAGGUGCGAAAGCGUGGGUAGCAAACAGGAUUAGACACCCCAGUAGUC
rnacentral:rRNA from 1 species